GACGAACGCUGGCGGCGUGCCUAAUACAUGCAAGUCGAACGCAGUGGGGACGGGUGAGUAACACGUGGGUAACCUCCCAUCAGAGGGGAUAACACUUGGAAACAGGUGCUAAACAGAUACUGCUGGAUGGACCCGCGGUGCCUUAGCUCGUUGGUGAGGUAACGGCUCACCAAGGCCACGCUGCAUAGGCGACCGGGGAGGGUGAUCGGCCACACUGGGACUGAGACACGGCCCAGACGCCUACGGGAGGCAGCAGUAGGGAAUCUUCGGAAAUGGACGAAAGGCUGACCGAGCAACGCCGCGUGAGUGAAGAAGGUUUUCGGAUCGUAAAACUCUGUUGUUAGAGAAGCGGUAUCUAACCAGAAAGCCACGGCUAACUACGUGCCAGCCGCCGCGGUAAUUC
rnacentral:rRNA from 1 species